rnacentral:rRNA from 1 species
CUAGCCGUAAACGAUGGGUACUAGGUGUAGGAGGUUUCGAUACCUUCUGUGCCGCAGUUAACGCAAUAAGUACCCCGCCUGGGGAGUACGUGCGCAAGCAUGAAACUCAAAGGAAUUGACGGGGGCCCGCACAAGCGGUGGAGCAUGUGGUUUAAUUCGAAGCAACGCGAAGAACCUUACCAGGGCUUGACAUCCUCGGACGACACUAGAGAUAGUGUUUUCUCUUCGGAGACUGAGAGACAGGUGG